CAGGGAUCUCGUGGAUUUUUGAACUUUCGGAGAUUUCUAUUGUUUCUUCGGCCCUUGACACCGUCUCGAGCAUCUGAUUUUGAGAUAUAGGAAAUUUGAGGAUGGAACUGUUUCCUGAUUGCCAGAUCCAGUUUGCUAAGGUCAAACGCCAUGGGAGCUGAUGCUGGUUGAUUGAGCAAAGCUAGAGUGAAAACCCUGCUGAGAGACCAACUUUCAGAGAAAUAAUAGACAUGCUGACUUAUGUUCAAAAGCAGAUUGCUCAUAAGAAGCGAUGGACGGAUGUCACAAUGAAGAUCAUAUCAUUUUCUCAGCAAGGGCCUUGGGCUAUUUCUAUUUUAUCAGCUAAUGGUGUCAUUUCAAAUGUUACACUUCGCCAACCUGAUUCUUCUGGUGGUACAUUG